UUUCCGUAGGUGAACCUGCGGAGGGAUCAUUACAACGUAUCCAACGUAUAAACCUUUGUGAACUUCGUUUUACCAAAAACCAUCUAUCGAAAGUUGUGAACAGGACGAGAGGGAAAUGCUCGGCCGGUUCAUGCAUACACUUUCUUUGGGUGUGCGUUUCCCAUUUACCAAUUAUUUAACCUUUUGUAAACUUCAAUUUGUAUAUAAAAUUUUCCUUAUGAGAAAUCGUAUGGGAAAGUUUCUUAUUUAUUUAAGAAAUUAUACGCACAACUCUUAGCAACGGAUAUCUAGGCUCUCGUAUCGAUGAAGAACGCAGCGAAAUGCGAUACGUAAUGCGAAUUGCAGAAUUCAGUGAAUCAUCAAAUCUUUGAACGCAUCUUGCGCUUCUGGGAAUCCCUGGGAGCAUAUUUUUCUGAGUAUCGUUUCACCACCUCCGCCUCUGCGUCCUUUACUGUGACGUCAGUAGUGUGGGUUAAUGGCGGUUUGACUUUCGCGGUCAAUCCACUGAAAUGUAUACUGCUUCAGUAUCUUCAAUUUGAGCUCCUCAAAAAAGCUCACGUUGUCGAUGUUUGAUACUUGACCUUUGGUCAUCACAUUAUCUACAUUGGCAAUGCUGAAGAACCACUGAUUGGCAGGUUCAAGGUACGUAGACAGACACCUCACGGUGCCUAUCUCAAUUCUUGAUCUCAGAUAAAGUAAGAGAACCCGCCGAAUUUAAGCAUAUCAAUAAGCGGAGGA
rnacentral:rRNA from 1 species